rnacentral:rRNA from 1 species
UACAGAGGGUGCAAGCGUUGUUCGGAAUUACUGGGCGUAAAGCGCGUGUAGGCUGCGAUGUAAGUCAGGUGUGAAAGCCCUCAGCUUAACUGAGGAAGUGCACUUGAUACUGCGUCGCUAGAGUGUCGGAGGGGGUGGCGGAAUUCCCGGUGUAGAGGUGAAAUUCGUAGAUAUCGGGAGGAACACCUGUGGCGAAGGCGGCCACCUGGACGACAACUGACGCUGAGACGCGAAAGCGUGGGUAGCAAACAGG